AGAGAGAGACAUGCGCGCAUAUCAAUAAGCGGAGGAAAAGAAACUAACAAGGAUUCCCCUAGUAACGGCGAGUGAAGCGGGAAGAGCUCAAAUUUGAAAUCUUAAAGGGUUUCCCUUUACGAAUUGUAGUUUAAAGAAGUGUUUUCUGUUGAGGUUUUGGUAAAAGUUCUUUGGAAUAGGACAUCAUAGAGGGUGAGAAUCCCGUAUUUGACCUUUACUUUCAACUUUGUGAUACACUUUCAAAGAGUCGGAUUGUUUGGGAAUGCAGUCCAAAAUGGGUGGUAAAUUUCAUCUAAAGCUAAAUAUUGGCGAGAGACCGAUAGCGAACAAGUACCGUGAGGGAAAGAUGAAAAGAACUUUGAAAAGAGAGUUAAACAGUACGUGAAAUUGUCAAAAGGGAAGCGUUUGACACCAGUGUUGUUUUUCUGAAAAUCAAUUAAAGAACUGUUUAUGCUAAGCUGUUUAGACUUUAUCAGCUAUCUGUUUAGUUUUGAGCUUUUCUUUAAUGCACUUUUCAGUUAACAAGUCAACAUCAAUUUCUUUUGCUGUAAAAAAGCUUGAGGAAGGUGGCUUGAGAUUCGUCUUAAGUGUUUAUAGCCUCUUGCCUAUGCAGUCGGAGAGAUUGAGGUCUGCAGCGUAGAUCCUUCGGGGCUAAAUGCAUUUGUGCUAAGUUAUAACAUUUUAUAGACAACUUGUUGACUAUGAUUUGUCUUGUAGCUUACUCGCUUAUGUUAUUUUACCUACGCUUAGGAUGUUGAUGUGAUACUGCGAGCA
rnacentral:rRNA from 1 species